rnacentral:rRNA from 1 species
AGUCGAGCGAGCAAUUUUAACGGAAUACCUUCGGGUAGGAAGAUAAAAGCGCGAGCGGCGGAUGGGUGAGUAACACGUGGGCAACCUGCCCUUUAGCUUGGGAUACCACUUGGAAACAGGUGCUAAUACCAAAUAAGAAGCAAGAGCGCAUGCUCAAGCUAUGAAAGGCGGCUUUCGAGCUGUCACUAAAGGAUGGGCCCGCGGUGCAUUAGCUAGUUGGUAAGGUAACGGCUUACCAAGGCAAUGAUGCAUAGCCGAGUUGAGAGACUGAUCGGCCACAUUGGGACUGAGACACGGCCCAAACUCCUACGGGAGGCAGCAGUAGGGAAUCUUCCACAAUGGACACAAGUCUGAUGGAGCAACGCCGCGUGAGUGAAGAAGGUUUUCGGAUCGUAAAGCUCUGUUGUUGGUGAAGAAGGAUAAGGAUAGUAACUGAUUCUUAUUUGACGGUAAUCAACCAGAAAGUCACGGCUAACUACGUGCCAGCAGCCGCGGUAAUACGUAGGUGGCAAGCGUUGUCCGGAUUUAUUGGGCGUAAAGCGAACGCAGGCGGGAGAACAAGUCAGCUGUGAAAGCCCUCGGCUUAACCGGGGAAGUGCAGCUGAAACUGUUUUUCUUGAGUGCAGAAGAGGAGAGUGGAACUCCAUGUGUAGCGGUGGAAUGCGUAGAUAUAUGGAAGAACACCAGUGGCGAAGGCGGCUCUCUGGUCUGUAACUGACGCUGAGGUUCGAAAGCAUGGGUAGCGAACAGGAUUAGAUACCCUGGUAGUCCAUGCCGUAAACGAUGAGUGCUAAGUGUUGGGGGGUUUCCGCCUCUCAGUGCUGCAGCUAACGCAUUAAGCACUCCGCCUGGGGAGUACGACCGCAAGGUUAAAACUCAAAGGAAUUGAC